rnacentral:rRNA from 1 species
GAAGAGAGAGUUCAAAAGGGCGUGAAACCGCUUAGAACAAAACGGACGGAGCCGUCUGGAGCCUUCGGGAAUCAGUCUAGCGAUACGCGAACGCCGAGCGGUUCGGAGCGCAAAGUCCGUCCGCUUGGCGACUAGUAACAUUCGCUCGACGCAUUUCUCGAAGGUUAGCGCCACGACCGAUACGAAAGGCCGACGAAACGUUUGGAUCGAGGGCGAGACUACUCUCUAGUACUCGUAACCCGUCUUUACGUUCGAGUCGUCGGACCGCAGUAUGUAUCGAGCGCCAAAGUAACUAAAUACGUCGGCCGUAAAAGCUCGUUCGAAUAACGGAUAGUCGAUCAAUAGCGUCGGUACUCGCUCGCGUGUGCCGAUCUAUUCGAUUCGAUUCAAAAGUUAUCGGCGACAUUUCGACGUAUAGGCGUCAGUGGCGUCAGCGUCGGUCACCCGUCCGACCCGUCUUGAAACACGGACCAAGGAGUCUAACAUAUGCGCGAGCUAAUGGGUGGAAAACCCAAAAGCGCAAUAAAAGUAAAAGCUAUCUAUCGAUAGCCGAGGUACGAUCCUAGAGACGCUAGUCUUUAGGCGCAGUACCGUCCCGUCUCGACCGCUCGUCGGUAGGGCGGAGAUAGAGUGCAUACGUUGGGACCCGAAAGAUGGUGAACUAUGCCUGAGCAGAGCGAAGCCAGAGGAAACUCUGGGUGGAGGUUCGUAGCGGGUUCUGACGUGCAAAUCGAUCGUCAGACUUGGGUAUAGGGG